UACGAAGGGGGCUAGCGUUGCUCGGAAUCACUGGGCGUAAAGCGCACGUAGGCGGAUUCCUAAGUCGGGGGUGAAAUCCUGGAGCUCAACUCCAGAACUGCCUUCGAUACUGGGAAUCUUGAGUCCGGAAGAGGUGAGUGGAACUGCGAGUGUAGAGGUGAAAUUCGUAGAUAUUCGCAAGAACACCAGUGGCGAAGGCGGCUCACUGGACCGGUAUUGACGCUGAGGUGCGAAAGCGUGGGGAGCAAACAGG
rnacentral:rRNA from 1 species